GCUAUCUUCGCGUGGUGGAUGGAUCAACAUUCAUGAUGACACCUGGGACAAAUCCUCAAGCCACAAUCAUGAUGAUGGGCAGGUAUGUGGGGUUGAAGAUGAUUGGGGAUCGGCACAGCAGAAGGCUAGUGAACAACACAUCAUCAUAACCAACACACUCCCAAUGCUUCUGAAAUCCAAUAACAACAAGUAUUUCAGUGACAUCGUACAAAGUGCGCCGUAUUGCUCUUCCAUACAUCCAGUGCAUAACAUACUGCCACUGCUACCUUUUUGUUAGUGAUACAAAACGUGUAGGGGUAAUAAUGAUCUGUAUAUACUACUGUACAGUGAUAAGCAUGAAUGAGGAAAGGAAAUCACGAGUUGCCUAGUUAUUACGUUUUUGCAAAGCGAAUGGUACAGGACAGGCGAUUGCUGCA